GGGGGUAUAGUUCAGUGGUAGAGUUCUUGCUUAGCGUGUAAGAGGUCCUGGGUUCCAUCCCCAGUACUGGUA
rnacentral:tRNA from 1 species